UUGCAUGUUGUGGCCUCGUGCCUUUGUUGGUCGUUCUUUGAAUCAGUAGAGCGAGCAACUUCACAAACAUGCUACAUUAACGCCUAAACUUUGGGAGUUAACAGGGCCACCAGUCCCUCAAGGUCAGGCUGAGUUGGUAGUAUAAUACUCCCACAUUC
ensembl:snoRNA small nucleolar RNA U109